GGACACAACGCAACCUGAGCAGCUAAUAGGUGGCAGCUCUUUGUGUGCACAGUCCCCAUCCCCAUGAAAUGCAAGCAGCGUUACCCGGGCACCCAUUCCACAGACCCGGAGACUGAGCACCAGCUGGGAUAAGAUGGCCGCUGUGCCCCUGAAGAGCUUGCCAACUCUCACGUGCUGGGUGCUGACUGAAUGCUGCACCCCAUCUGAGCUCUUCCCAUGACCCCGGAGCACCCCACGAGGGGACCCCACCUGCUAACCCAAGUCGCAGACGAAGUUGGAGUUGAUGGUCAAACCAAUGGCAGCAAGUGCUCACAAAAAGAUUCACAGCCAGACUCUGUGGCCUGGUCUUAGACAUGCUCCAUUGUUGCCAAAUUGGUGAGUGUCAUGGAAGGAGACCAGGACACGACACUCAUGUGGUCCCCUAUCCCUGGGAGAAUGUGUGCAACCCAGAGCCAAACCUCUGGGGGCAGGGCCAGGUGUAAAAUCAGGCCCAGAGGAGCGGGGCAGUGUUGAGGGUGCAGGGCUUGGAGCAGAGCUGGGCUGCCAUGGAGAAUGUCCCCCUGGCUGGGCCUCCUCCUCCUGGCCCCAUCUCUACUGCAUUCUUGUCCGCUUUGCU
rnacentral:lncRNA from 1 species